CACAACAUGUAAAUAGGAAAAUGUUGGCGUUAUUUUGUCACUUAUUGAGAGCAGUAUGCUAGCUGGAGCUGUUUACCUCCAGUCUUUGUGCUAAGCUAGGCUAGCGGUGGGUGCGUCAAACAGAGGCACUCAAGGAGAUGAGAAGGUGGAUAGAACCCACACUAUGCAGGUGCCAGCUGCGAGGGAAGGAGCGAGAUACCUGCGACCCUCUCUAUUCCCACCUUUUUGUCUUUUCUUACAUCUCUCUCCCUCACUCUCUCUUCUCUGUCUCCUUCUUUCUCUUUUGACACACAUUCCUGUUACCCAGUGUCAAUCCCUGUUGCCCAGUGUUUUAUUCAUGUAAUUAAAUUGUAUUUUACUUCUAAAAAAUAAAAGUUAUGUCACUGUUUU